rnacentral:lncRNA from 1 species
AGUAAGGUUGCCGGGCUAUAAGGAGGUGUGGCACCAGAUGGGGUUCAUAUCGGGAGUACGGGGCAUUAAGCAGCUUUUGAGAUCGAGGGACUCGUGAAUAUUUUGGUCUUUUUUGGUUGUACAUUUUUAUUGUAGGAAAUCUGGUAGCGGCAAUUUUUAAGCUUCUUGUCCAGAAAAUUCAGUAGGCUUUAUAUUAAUACAUAAAAUUGAGAAUGGAA